rnacentral:rRNA from 1 species
GUGGGGAAUUUUGGACAAUGGGCGCAAGCCUGAUCCAGCAAUGCCGCGUGUGUGAAGAAGGCCUUCGGGUUGUAAAGCACUUUUGGCAGGAAAGAAAUAGCGCGUGCUAAUACCAUGCGCGAAUGACGGUACCUGCAGAAUAAGUACCGGCUAACUACGUGCCAGCAGCCGCGGUAAGACGUAGGGUGCAAGCGUUAAUCGGAAUUACUGGGCGUAAAGCGUGCGCAGGCGGUUUUGUAAGACAGGUGUGAAAUCCCCGGGCUCAACCUGGGGACUGCACUUGUGACUGCAAGGCUAGAGUGUGUCAGAGGGAGGUGGAAUUCCGCGUGUAGCAGUGAAAUGCGUAGAGAUGCGGAGGAACACCGAUGGCGAAGGCAGCCUCCUGGGAUAACACUGACGCUCAGGCACGAAAGCGUGGGGAGCAAACAGGAUUAGAUACCCUAGUAGUCC